rnacentral:rRNA from 1 species
CAGCAGCCGCGGGAACACGAAGGGUGCAAGCGUUAAUCGGAAUUACUCGGCGUAAAGCGUGCGUAGGCGGUUUGUUAAGUCUGCUGUGAAAUCCCCGGGCUCAACCUGGGAAUGGCAGUGGAUACUGGCAAGCUAGAGUGUGUCAGAGGAUGGUGGAAUUCCCGGUGUAGCGGUGAAAUGCGUAGAGAUCGGGAGGAACAUCAGUGGCGAAGGCGGCCAUCUGGGACAACACUGACGCUGAGGCACGAAAGCGUGGGGAGCAAACAGGAUUAGAUACCCCCGUAGUCCCUGUCUCUUAUAC